rnacentral:rRNA from 1 species
CAAUAGCGUAUAUUUAAGUUGUUGCAGUUAAAAAGCUCGUAGUUGGAUUUUGGGUCGGGGGCACCGGUCCGCCGUUCCGGUGUGCACUGGUGGCCCCUUCCUUUCUGCCGGGGACGUGCGUCGCACUUAAUUGGGUGGCGUUCGGAGUCGACGUUGUUACUUUGAAAAAAUUAGAGUGUUCAAAGCAAGCCAUCGCUCUGAAUACAUUAGCAUGGAAUAACAUGAUAGGACUCCGGUCUUAUUUUGUUGGUUUCCGAGACUGGAGUAAUGAUUAAGAGGGACAGUCGGGGGCAUCCGUAUUUCAUUGUCAGAGGUGAAAUUCUUGGAUUUAUGAAAGACGAACUUCUGCGAAAGCAUUUGCCAAGGAUGUUUUCAUUAA